UCUCUGGGCUGGCGGGACAGAGCAGCCAUGCUACACGCAGCUAAGCCAGGUCUGAUCAUAAAUCGUCCGAUCGUGCCUAGAACUACGUAUCUGAACUCCACCCGUUAAAAUGACUGGUUACGGUAGAGCUAAGCAGGACUUAAGUUUCACUAUUAAACUGAGGUCCAAGAAGGAGACCAGCUGGGAAAGAAAGGAAAAGGAGAAGAAGAGUAAGAAAGAAAAUGGAGGAGAAAGGAAAAAAAGACCUGGAAGAAGAACUCACCUCUAAGACACAGCUCGAGAGCAGAGCUGCUAGAAUCUUCCGCACAACCGUGACAUGCAGCAACCAGAACGUAGAUGAGACUGACCUUGCCUGGCCAACAGGGAAAGUCCUCCUGCAUGAUCAGGAUUGAAGUAUCGACGAAAAUGCUAAAAGCCACGACAGUACGAAAUGAAGUGAAUUCUACCGAGAGGACGUAGACACAAAUCUUUUUGAAGAUGAAAUGAACAUUUCAUUCAUUUUAUCGAAAAUGAUGAGGUCUGUGUUUCGAGAUCACCAGUUGAUUUGUAUGUGAUGGUUUGCAGGCAACCUUUCCAAAUAUAGAAACUAUUCUGAAAACAUUUUUAACAAUACCUGUCACAAGUGCU